AACGAACGCUGGCGGCAGGCCUAACACAUGCAAGUCGAGCGAGGACUUCGGUUCUAGCGGCGGACGGGUGAGUAACGCGUGGGAAUGUGCCCUUCUCUACGGAAUAGCCCUGGGAAACUGGGAGUAAUACCGUAUACGCCCUUUUGGGGAAAGAUUUAUCGGAGAAGGAUCAGCCCGCGUUGGAUUAGGUAGUUGGUGGGGUAAUGGCCUACCAGGCCGACGAUCCAUAGCUGGUUUGAGAGGAUGAUCAGCCACACUGGGACUGAGACACGGCCCAGACUCCUGCGGGAGGCAGCAGUGGGGAAUCUUAGACAAUGGGGGCAACCCUGAUCUAGCCAUGCCGCGUGAGUGAUGAAGGCCUUAGGGUUGUAAAGCUCUUUCAGCUGGGAAGAUAAUGACGGUACCAGCAGAAGAAGCCCCGGCUAACUCCGUG
rnacentral:rRNA from 1 species